rnacentral:rRNA from 1 species
CCACAUAAAGUUGUGCUCCGUUCGGCUUCUCGUCUGCAACUCGACUCACUGAAGCUGGAAUCGCUAGGAAUCGUGGAUCAGCCUGCUACGGUGAAGACGUUCCGGGGGCUUGGUCACACGGCCCGACGCGCCCCGAGUGUUUGUAACCCCCGAGGCCGGUGGAGUUGCCUUGUAGGAGGUUGCGGUCGACGGUGGGGCAAUUGAUGGUGGGAAUGUGGUAUCUUGGUAGCCGUAACGGAAGGUGCGGCU